CAGAACGAACGCUGGCAGCGUGGAUUAGGCAUGCAAGUCGAACGGGAUCCGCGAGGUAGCAAUACUUAGCGGUGAGAGUGGCGGAUUGGGGAGGAACACGUGAGCAACCUGCCUUGGGUUCGGGAAAACCGUUGGAAACGACGGCUAAUACCGGAUGUGGCGCCCGGCGGCAUCGCCGGAGCGCUAAAGGGGGCCGCAAGGCUCCCGCCCUGAGAGGGGCUCGCGCACCAUCAGCUAGUUGGCGGGGUAACGGCCCACCAAGGCUUACGGUUAGCUGGUCUGAGAGGAUGACCAGCCCCACUGGGACUGAGAUACUGCCCAGACUCCUACGGGAGGCUGCAGUCGAGGAUCAUUCGCAAUGGGCGAAAGCCUGACGAUGCGACGCUGCGUGGAGGAUGAAGGCCUUCGGGUUGUAAACUCCUGUCGUGAGGGAAAAGGCGGAGGGGCCCAACACGCCCCCGAGUUGAUGGUACCUCAAGAGGAACGGGCGGCUAACUCUGUGCCAGCCGCCGC
rnacentral:rRNA from 1 species